CAAAGUAGAGCUAAACUAGAAUAGCGUUUCACUUACGUUGAAAAGAAUUAUUGUGCAAAUCAAUUUACUUUGA
rnacentral:tRNA from 1 species